rnacentral:lncRNA from 1 species
GAGGGGCCCGAGGCCUGCCCACGCUCGGUGGGAGCGCUCUCGGGUACGCCCGGCGCCCCCUUGCUGGCUCUGCUUAGAGGCUGGGUGUUCUCGGACUCUGGGAGGAGUGGGUGGGGCAGGCCCGGUGCAAACAGGUGAGUGGGUUAUUUCAUGAUUUAGUUGGGGGCAUGGGAAGCGCCAUCAGGGAGCUAGGAAAUACCGUCGGAUUCUAGUUGUUUCCUGGCCCUCGGUUUCCCUACCUUUAAAACAGCCGUGUCAGUUACCCUCCCUAUCCCCUAGUUACGGCGAAGGCAUGUUAUUAACCAACAUACCAUUAAAAUUAGUCCAGCGAGGCUUUGAGCAGGAGCUAAAAAAAAUAAUAAUAAAUAAAUGGUAUAAAAAUUUUUCAAAAGAGAUUUAAAAAAGAAAAAUGUCCGGCUUGGAUACUUGGUAUGGAAGAGCAAUCAGAGGCCAAUUUACUUUUUAAAACGGGGCAUCUUUGAGACUGGUAGAUUCCAUCUCAGCUGCUCCAUAAAUUCUAGGCCAGUCGGCAUCUUUUCAGCAAAUACAGUAAACACAACGUUCAGGCCAUUCAGUUUCUUCUGUGUCUCCUCAAUUAAAAGAAAAAAAGUUUUUAAAAUAGAAGUGCUGCCUUUGGACGCCUUUUUAGUUGUAGAGGAAGUAUAGAAACAUAAACUGACAGCCCCUCCCUAGUAAUGUGGGGGUUAUGUCAAACUCGACUCCAGCACCUAGCAAAGUGGAGAAUCUGGUUCUGGAGUAUUGACUGACACCUCAAAUUUUCUGAAGAUAUUUGUACAACUACAUUCCAGUGCUAUAAUGCUCCUUCUGGUAGCUCCUUAAAUGAUCAAGCUCUGUCUCUAAAGAAAUGCAGUGAUAUCUGAAAUAGGGCUGAAUGUCAAUUUUAGAAAACGGUGGGUUUUCUGAAAUUACGGGAGUUAUGCAGGAGAAACAAGUUCUAUCACUUAAGAGAAAAGAUGACAUAUGGAUCGAUGAUCAAGUACCUGUCCCACACCCCAAGCAGAAGUGGCAGUCCUUGGAAAGAUGUAGACUUGAACUGUAGACUCCUUGGGAAAGUUUAAGGGAACACAUGAAGAAAAAAGCUGGGAGCUGCAGUGCCGUGAGGGUUAUGGAGCCUUCAGCACCAUAGCUCCUUCUAGUACACUCCAGAUUUGUUUGACCAACUGGGUGUGGCCACCAUGCAUGUGAAGCUGGAACUCAGGGUGUCUCCAGCUUGGUGUGAAUUCAGUUUGUGUCCAAUACCCCUCAUUCCUUUACGUGGUUGCUACAGGCGAGUGGGUACGCUUUUGGUCUCUGCAGGUUCUGCCGUGAGUCCAGCAGGAUGCAAGUGCCAUCUUGUAGAAUUCAUGGGAAUGGAGGAGGAUGGAUGCUGUGGCUGAAUAAACUCCUUCCCUGGGUCAGCAAGUGAACCUAGCACAAGGCACCGACUUGUGCCAUCCUGACCUGCCCUUGCAUUACCAGCUGUUUGGGAGAAUUGUAAAAAGGUGACUCAUUUAGAGUCAGAUUCUGUUUUAGGGGAAUAUCAUGCAGACCCUCUCCUGACUUCGUAGAAGGUUUUCUGACCUUGUCAAAAGGUUAGAGAGAGGCAGAUUACAUGACCAUUUUUUAAAAGAGGAAGAAAGUGAGUUCUGCAAACCACAGAUCAGUGAACCUGACAUUGGGCCUGGAAAAUCUUCAGGGCAGAUGACUUAACAAAAAAAUAUUUGUGACCUCUCCAAAGAUGAAACAACAGUGACAAAGACCAAGUCACACUAGGUUAACCUUAUUUCUUGAUGUGAAAUGUAUAAAUGUGUAAAUCAAGGAAAUAUGGUGGAAAUAUAUAUCUGGGCCUGGAAGGUAUAUUUCCCAGUAUUCUUUCAGUUAUAGUGAUGGAAACUCAAUUCAAACUGGUUUUUAAAAGAGAGGGGGCCGGGCGCGGUGGCUGACGCCUGUAAUCCCAGCACUUUGGGAGGUCGAGGCGGGCGGAUCAUGAGGUCAAGAGAUUGAGACCAUCCUGGCCAACAUGGUGAAACCUGGUCUCUACUAAAAAUACAAAGAUUAGCUGGGCAUGGUGGCAGGUGCCUGUAGUCCCAGCUACUCGGGAGGCUUGAGACAGGAGAAUCGCUUGAACCUGGGAGGCAGAGGUUGCAGUGAGCUGAGAUCGCGCCACUGCACUCCAGCCUGUCGACGGAGUGAGACUUAGUCCCCCCCCCCAAAAAAGGAAUAUGUUGGCAGACAUAAAAGGCUCUGGGGUUGGCUCAGCAGGAUCCAGGGGCACAAGUGAUGUCAUCAGAACUUGGUCUCUCCCACUCUUCACUGCUCCUUUGAGUUGGCUUCAGUCUCAGAUUAGGCUCUUUUUUUUUUUUUAAAUCAUCUCACUCUGUCACCCAGGCCGGAGUGCAGUGACGCAAUCUCAGCAACCUCCACCUCCUGAAUUCAAGCGAUUCUCUUGCCUUAGCCUCCCAAGUAGCUGGGAAUGCAGGUGCGCACCGCCAUGCCUGUCUAAUUUUUGUAUUUUUAGUAGAGAUGGGGGUUUCACCAUGUUGGCCAGGCUGGUCUCGAACUGCUGGCCUCAAGUGAUCCACCUACCUCGGCCUCCCAAAGUGCUGGGAUUACAGGCGUGAGCCACCACGCCUGGCCUCAGAUUAGGUUCUUUUUACAGAGUGUCCUCCAAGAGCUCUAGGCUUAUAUUGUCUCAGCUUAGCAGCCCCCAUGGAAAAAAGGAUCUUCUCUUUCAAUACUUUCAGCAAAAGCCCCAGGAUUUGUUCUGAAUGGACUGAUGCACCUGUGUGUUCAUCCCCUGGAACCAAUCUCUGAGGCCAGAUUGUUGGAAUAACUGGAUUGAUCAGAUCUGCACAGGAGUAGGGGUCAGCCCCACUCAUACUACUUGAGUGGAGAGCAAGGGAACAGAGGCUCUUCUGAGGAAACUGAGGUGGUCUGGCCAGAACAAGGAGGGUCGUUUCUGGAUAGGCAGGGAAAAGCUACAGAUAUCCAGGAUGGAGCCUCUGCCGACAUAUCUCAUGACAUUGUACAAAGGACACGGGAAGGAGGUAGGAGAAGCAGUAAAGUUAUUGGAUGGCUAAAUCAAUAUUUAAAAAUAUUCUGUCCGGGCACCGUGGCUCACGCCUUUAAUCCCAGCACUUUGGGAGGGCAAGGUGGGCGGAUCACAAGGUCAGGAGUUCAAGACCAGCCUGGCCAACAUGGUGAAACCCCAUCUCUACUAAAGAUACAAAACAUUAGCUGGGCAUGGUGGCGCGUGCCUAUAAUCCUGCCUACUGGGUAGGCUGAGGCAGGAGAAUCACUUGAACCUGGGAGGCGGAGGUUGCAGUGAGCCGAGAUCGUGCCAUUGCACUCUAGCCUAGGCAACAGAGCAAGACUCUGUCUCAAAAAAAAAAAAAAAAAAACAAAAAACUCUGAGACCAAGUGUGGGGCCUCAUGCCUGUAAUCUCAGCACUUUGGGAAGCCAAGGCGGGUGGAUCAUCUGAGGUCAGGAGUUUGAGACCAGCCUGGCCAUCAUGGUGAAACCUCAUCUCUACUAAAAAUACAAAAAUUAGUCAAGCGUGGUGGCACAUGCCUGAAAUCUCAGCUACUUGGGAAUCUGAGGCUGGAGAAUUGCUUGAACCCGGGAGGUGGAGGUUGCAGUGAGCUGAGAUCCUACCAUUGCAUUCCAACCUGGGCGACAGAGCGAGACUCUGUCUCAAAAAAAAAUACUUUGAAUAGGUUGGGUGUGAUGGCUCAUGCCUAUAAUCCCAGCACUUUGGGAGGCCGAGGCAGAUCACCUGAGCUCAGGAGUUUGAGACCAGCAUGGGCAACAUGGUGAAACCCCGUCUCUACCAAAAAUACAAAAAAUUAGCUGGGCAUGGUGGCGCAUGCCUGUAGUCCUGGCUACUUGGAAGCCUGAGGUUAGAGGGUUGCUUGAGCCUGGGAGGUCAAGGUUGCAGUGAGCCAAGAUUGUGCCGCUGCACUCCAGCCUGGGUGACAGAGGGAGACCCUGUCUCAAAAAACAAACAAAGAAAUACUUUGAAUAGAGGAUGAGUCCAAAAUACAACUAUACAAAAUAGCAGGUGAUAUGCAUUAGCACCAGUUCUGUGUGUGUUUGACUACCAUGCCUAUUUUUCCUUUGUUUGUAACAAAUCACCACAAACUUACUGGCUUAAAAACAACACAAUUGGCCAGGUGUGGUGGCUUAUGCCUGUAAUCCCAGCACUUUGGGAGGCCGAGGCGGGUGGAUCACCUGAGGUCAGGAGUUCAAGACCAGCCUGGCCAACACGGUGAAACCCUGUCUCUACUAAAAAUACGAAAAUUAGCCAGGCAUGGUGGUACACCUGUAAUUCCAGCUACUCCGGAGGUGGAGGCAGGAGAAUUGCUUGAACCUGGGAGGCAGAGGUUGCAGUAAGCUGAAAUUGCGCCACUGCACUCCAGCCUGGGCGACAGAGCGAUACUUCGUCUCAAAAAAAAAAAAAAAAGAAAAGAAAGAAAAGAAAACCAUAAUAUAUUAUCUUACAGUUCUGGAGGUCAAGUCCUAAAAUUGAGGUGUCAGCAGGGCUGUGUUCCUUUCAGAGGCUCUAGGGGAGAAUUGUUUGUCUUCUCUGGCUUCUAGAGGCCACCUGCAUUGCAUGGCUUGUGGCCCCUUCCUCUGUCUGCCUAGUCAGUCUCCUUUACUCUGGAACAGUUCCUCAGCUUUUCUUUGUCCUUUAAGACACUGAUAUUGACUAAGAGUGCAGGCCAGUUGUUCCAUAGGAUGUCCCUCCAUUUAGAUUUUCCUGAUUGUUCCCUUAUUAUUAGAGGCAGGUAACACAGUUUAGCAACAGCAAUUCAUAGUGAAGUUGUGAUCUUCUUAGUGCUUCAUAUCAGGAGGCACAUACUGUCUAUUUGUCUCAUUAUUGGUGAUACUAUGCUUGACCAAUGGUGAUAUAUUUCUCCAUUGUAAAGGUACCUUUUUUCCUUUGUAAGUAAUCAGAAAUUUGUGGGGAAGAUACUUUGAGACUAUUUAGAUACCCUAUCUUUCAACAAACUCAAUGAACUUUCAGCUAGUGGUUUAGCAUCCAUUAAUGAUAAGUCUAUAGUGGUCCCCAAAUGUUGAGUUGUCUUCUUCUCCUUCUUCUUAUUAUUAAGACAGAGUCUUACUCUUUUGCCCAGGCUGGAGUCCAGUGGCGCAAUCUCAGCUCACUGCAACCUCCGCCUCCCACGUUCAAGUGAUUCUCCUGCCUCAGUCUCCCAAGUAGCUGGGAUUACACGCAUGUGCAUCAUGCCUGGCUAAUUUUUUUUGUAUUUUUAGUAGAGUUAGGGUUUCACCAUGUUGGCCAGGCUGGUCUCGAACUCCUGACCCCAAGUGAUCCAACCGCCUCGGCCUCCUAAAGUGCUGGGAUUACAGGUGUGAGCCACUGUGCCUGGCUGAGUUUUCUAAUUCUAUUGCUCCACCUACAUUUAUUAGUUGACAUUUCCCUGUAUCUGUCUUUGCCCUUUUUUUUUUUUGAGACAGAGUUUCGCUCUGUCGCCCAGGCUAGAGUGCAGUGGCGCGAUCUCGGCUCACUGCAAGCUCCGCCUCCCGGGUUCACGCCAUUCUCCUGCCUCAGCCUCCUGAGUAGCUGGGACUACAGGCGCCCGCCACCACGCCUGGCUAAUUUUUUUUUUGUAUUUUUAGUACAGACAGGGUUUCACCGUGUUGGCCAGGAUGGUCCCGAUCUCCUGACCUCGUGAUCCAACCGCCUCGGCCUCCCAAAGUGCUGCGAUUACAGGCGUGAGCCACUGCGCCCGGCCUGUCUUUGCCCUUUUCUAAUCUGUCCUCCACAAAGCAGCUGGAGGGCUCUCUUUUCUCCUCUCCUCCUCCUCCCCUCCCCUCUUCUCUCUCUCCUCUCCUUAUCUCCUCCUCUUUCUCUCUCUCUUGUUCUCUUUCUCUCUUUUUCUUUCUUUCUUUCUUUCACAGUCUUGCUCUGUUGCCCAGGCUGGAGUGCAGUGGCACAAUCUCUGCUCACUGCAACCUCCGUCUCUUGGGUUCAAGUGAUUCUCGUGCCUCAGUCUUCUGAGUAGCUGGGAUUAUAGGUGCAUGCCACCAUGCCCAGCUAUUUUUUUGUAUUUGUUUUUCUUUAGUAGAGACAAGGUUUCACUGUGUUGGCCAGGCUGGUCUCAAACUCCUGGCCGCAGUUGAUCCACCUGCCUCAGCCUCCCAAAGCUCUGGGAUUAUAGGUGUGAGCCACCACGCCUGGCUUUUUUUUUUUUUUUUUUGGAUGGAGUCUCGCUCUGUCACCAGGCUGGAGUGCAGUGGCAUAAUCUUGGCUCACUGCAAUCUCCGCCUCCUGGGUUCAAACGAUUCUUCUGCCUCAGCCUCCUGAAUAGCUGGGACUAAAGGUGUGCGCCACCACACCCAACUAAUUUUUGUAUUUUUAGUACAGACAAGGUUUUACCAUGUUGGCCAGGAUGGUCUCCAUCUCUUGACCUUGUGAUCCGCCCACCUCGGCCUCCCAAAGUGCUGGGAUUACAGGUGUGAGCCACUGUGCACCCCCCCCUUUUUUAAUUUUUAAUUUUUUUUUAAGAGAGGGUCUUGCUCUGUCACUUAGGCUGGAGUGCAGUGGUGUGAUCACGGCUUACUGCAGCCUUGACCUCCUGGGCUCAAGCGAUCCUCCCACCUCAGCCUCCUGAGUAGCUGGCACUACAGGUGUGUGCCACCUUAACUGGCUAAUUUUUGUAUUUUUUGUUGAGAUGGGGACUCACUAUGUUGCCCAGACUGGUCUCAAACUUCUGGGCUCAGGUAAUCCUCCCCGCUCAGCCUCCCAAAAUGCUGGGAUUACAGAUGUGAGCUUCUGUGCCUGGCCUGGAGUGACCUUUAAAAACCACAAAUGUGCUCCAGUCCUUCAGUGGCUUUCCUCUGCCCCUCACAUAUGCCAGCGUCCUUCACCUGUUGCUAGGGCCCAGCAUGACCUGGCCCUUCCAAGCUUUCUGUGUGGUCUCGAACCGCUUCCCCUUGCCCUCCACACACUGACCCUCGCAGGGCCUUAAAGAAUCCAUGCUCCUUUCUACUGUAGGACCUGCCUGCGUGUCCCUUUGCCCAGAACCCACUUCCUUUGACCUCAAGCUCCUUUGCUCAACAAAUAUCCAUGUCUUUCACAUGUCACAUCCUAAAGGAAUCCCUGCAUGUGACCUCCAGACCAAGUCAGAGUCCUGGGUGUAUCAUCUCAGCAAAUAAUAUCAUCUUCCUCCACAGAAACACGUUUGCAAUUAUGCAUUUGUGAAAAUGGACUCUAAGCUCCAUAACAGGCAGGAGCUUUGCCUAGCUUUGCUCACUCAUGUGUCUGCAGCACUUAGCAUGGUACCAGGUACACUUGUUGAAUGAAUAAAUAUGAGUUUAAAACCAGGAUCGCAGGGAGAAGGUAGACAAGAUGAGGACUGGGUUAUUGUAGCCUGAGGACAAAUGGGCAGGGGCUUGCUUCUGAAGGACUCAGUGGAUGUGGUCAUGGUACCCACUGUAGGAGACCCGUGCCUAAGGCAAGCCCUCGAGGAGGCUGGCUUGGCACAGAGCUAGGAUUGUGGGCUCUUUCCAGAGGGGUGUGGCGCAGCCGAAACGGCAGAGCUUUCAUAGCCUAGUGUUGCUCACCUGCCAGCUGGCUCUGCUCCUGUACUUCAUUUGGUCAAUGGCUUACAUCUGACUCUCAGUUUCUGCAGCUGUACAAAGAGAUUUCACAGGGUGGUGAGGAUGAAGUGAGUCUACGAGGGGGUAUAACAGCAGCUAAGAAGUUCAAGGCACAUUUGGGGCGGCAUCCUGGCUCUCCACCUCUUCACUGUGUGACCGGGAGCACACUGCUCAACCUCUCUGGUCCUGUUUGUCUAGAAAAGGGACCAAUCAUAGUGAGUUCACUCAUUCAUUCAGUGCAGAUCUAUUGAAUGACUACUUUUUCAAAAGUUUUUAUUAUUUAUUUAUUGGAGACAGAGUCUUGCUCUGUCACCCAGGCUGGUGUGUAGAGGCACAAUCUCGGCUCACUGUAACCUCUGCCUCCUGGGCACAGAGCCAUUCUUCUGCCUCAGCCUCCUGGGUAGCUGGGAUUACAGGUGCCUGCCACCACGCCCGGCUAUUUUUGCAUUUUUAGUAGAGACGGGGUUUCACCAUAUUGGCCAGGCUGGUCUCGAACUCCUGACCUCAGGUGAUCUGCCCGCCUCAGCCUCUUAAAAGUGCUGGGAUUACAGACCUGAGCCACCGUACCUGGCCAGAUGACUACUUCUUUUUAGAGGCAGGGUCUCACUCUGUUGCCCAGGCUGGCAUGCAGUGGCUAUUCACAUGAGUGCCUACUUUUGGACAGGCAGUGGGGACACAGUGAACAACACCAACAAAACCCCCUGCCUUUUGUGAGGCUUGCAUUCCGAUGAGGAAUAGUCAACGGGGUAAGUGAAGGAUACAGGUGAGACGUGAGAUGUGGCAAGGAGUAAACCAGGGAAGGGAAACGAAAUACGUUGCAGGAAUGCGAGGGAGGGAGAAAUUUUACAUGGGGGACCGGGGAGGAAAACACUUUCUGAGUCAAGUCCUAACAGCCACGAGAGAAUGAGCAUGGACGACCUUGGUCACGCUUGGCACUCAGUGAGUGGCCCACACAAGGCUUUGCCAAGCACCCUACCUCCAAUUCCAGACCUGCUCCACCUACAGCGGAGGUGAGGUGGCCUGCAGAAAAGGAAUUCAGGGACACGUCACCCUCUUCGGGUUUAAACAUCUACCACAGGUUGUGGAAUUUCAGUCUUCUGGCUUUCCUAGCAUGGCUGUUGAACUCAACACCACAAACUCGGUGGGAAAAAUAAGAACCCAAACACCCGUCCGGAACAAGUCUCUGAUUUUCCACUGCAUAACCUUUGCGAGUUUCUCUCUCUCCCUGCCAGCAUCUACUUGAAAUAGAGAAGACACCAGCUGGGCGCAGUGGCUCAUGCCUGUAAUCUCAGCACUUUGGGAGGCCAAGGUGGGCGGAUCACCUGACAGGGUUGGGAGUUUGAGACCAGCCUGACCAACAUGGAGAUACCCCGUCUCUACUAAAAAUACAAAAUGAGCCGGGCGUGGUGGCACUUGCCUGUAAUCCCAGCUACCAGGGAGGCUGAGGCAGGAGAAUUGCUUAAACCUGGGAGAUGGAGGUUGCGGUGAGCUGAGAUCGUGCCAUUGCACUCUAGCCUGGGCAACAAGAGUAAAACUCUGUCUUAAAAAAAAAAAAAGAAUACAAAUAAGUGUACAUAACUGAAUGAAUUUUUACCUAAUGAACAUCCGUAUAACCAGCAGCCAGACCAAGAGAUUGAAUAUUACUAGCACCCUGCCCCCCACGCUCCCUUCCCUUCAGUGAGAAUCACUGCCUUGCCCUGUCUUCCUACACCGAAGAUCAGUUUUGCCUCUUUUUAUUAUAUUGCAUGUACUCUUUUGUGUCUUCCUGCUUUUACUCAACAUUAUGAGACAAGAAUAAUCCAGGGUGGCCACAGGAGAAUUAAAUUCUGGGCAGUAGUUUCACAUGACUAGAGGCUAUGGACUUAUAAGACCCUGAAACCCAGGAUGUGGGUCAAACUGGCUGAGACCAACUGGACCCAACAUGGCACUGGAUGUGACCAGGUUUCUCCUAGGACCUCAAUAUACACUCAUUAAUAUCCUAAACACACACCCACCCGUGUCUCGACAGUUCCAAGAACACCCAGGUUUGAUGUAAAAAUGGGUGGCACCACAGUUCCAAGAAAUCUCCACCUUUUCCCAGGAAUGUUCAUGAAUAUCCCAGUCCUUGGUUAAAGAAACCUAUAGAGGUAGCAACCUCAAACCCCCUUACACGUGACUUUUGAGUCCGCCCGCAUUCCCUUGAGUGUGUACUUUUCC